rnacentral:rRNA from 1 species
CUCGUUUGAUGAAUUCAUAGUCAAACGAGGCAAACCGGGGAAACUGAAACAUCUCAGUACCCCGAGGAAAAGAAAUCAACCGAGAUUCCCCCAGUAGCGGCGAGCGAACCGGGAGCAGCCCAGAGUCAACAUCAAUAUUUACCGCAGGAGAAGGGUCUGGAAAGGCCGGCAAUAAAGGGUGAUAGCCCCGUAUCUGAAGCGGUAAGUGUUGUGAACUCGAAGAGUAGGGCGGGACACGUGUUAUCCUGUCUGAAUAUGGGGGGACCCAUCCUCCAAGGCUAAAUACUCCUGACUGACCGAUAGUGAACCAGUACCGUGAGGGAAAGGCGAAAAGAACCCCGGCGAGGGGAGUGAAAUAGAACCUAAAACCGUGUACGUACAAGCAGUGGGAGCACCCGAAAGGGUGUGACUGCGUACCUUUUGUAUAAUGGGUCAGCGACUUAUAUUCUGUAGCAAGGUUAACCGCAUAGGGGAGCCGUAGGGAAACCGAGUCUUAACUGGGCGUUAAGUUGCAGGGUAUAGACCCGAAACCCGGUGAUCUAG